rnacentral:rRNA from 1 species
CCUACGGGAGGCAGCAGUGAGGAAUAUUGGUCAAUGGGCGCGAGCCUGAACCAGCCAAGUAGCGUGAAGGAUGACUGCCCUACGGGUUGUAAACUUCUUUUAUAAAGGAAUAAAGUGAUGCACGUGUGCGUUUUUGUAUGUACGGUAUGAAUAAGGAUCGGCUAACUCCGUUACAGCAGCCGCGGUAAGACGGAGGAUCCGAGCGUUAUCCGGAUUGAUUGGGUUUAAAGGGAGCGUAGAUGGGUUGUUAAGUCAGUUGUGAAAGUUUGCGGCUCAACCGUAAAAGUGCAUUUGAUACUGGUAGUCUUGAGUACAGUUGAGGUGGGCGGAAUUCGAGGUGUAGCGGUGAAAUGCUUAGAUAUCACGAAGAACUCCGAUUGCGAAGGCAGCUCACUAAACUGCAACUGACACUGAGGCUCGAAAGUGUGGGUAUCAAACAGGAUUAGAUACCCGGGUAGUC